CCUUAGAGUUUGAUCCUGGCUCAGGACGAACGCUGGCGGCGUGCUUAACACAUGCAAGUCGAACGGAAAGGCCCUUCGGGGUACUCGAGUGGCGAACGGGUGAGUAACACGUGGGUGAUCUGCCCUGCACUUUGGGAUAAGCCUGGGAAACUGGGUCUAAUACCGAAUAUGACUACAUGCUUCCUGGUGUGUGGUGUAAAGCUUUUGCGGUGUGGGAUGGGCCCGCGGCCUAUCAGCUUGUUGGUGGGGUAAUGGCCUACCAAGGCGACGACGGGUAGCCGGCCUGAGAGGGUGACCGGCCACACUGGGACUGAGAUACGGCCCAGACUCCUACGGGAGGCAGCAGUGGGGAAUAUUGCACAAUGGGCGCAAGCCUGAUGCAGCGACGCCGCGUGAGGGAUGACGGCCUUCGGGUUGUAAACCUCUUUCAGCACAGACGAAGCGCAAGUGACGGUAUGUGCAGAAGAAGGACCGGCCAACUACGUGCCAGCAGCCGCGGUAAUACGUAGGGUCCGAGCAUUAUCCGGAGUGACUGGGCGUAAAGAGUUGCGUAGGUGGUUUGUUAAGUGAAUAGUGAAAUCUGGCGGCUCAACCGUACAGGCUAUUAUUCAUACUGGCAAACUCGAGAAUGGUAGAGGUAACUGGAAUUUCUUGUGUAGGAGUGAAAUCCGUAGAUAUAAGAAGGAACACCAAUGGCGUAGGCAGGUUACUGGACCAUUUCUGACACUGAGGCACGAAAGCGUGGGGAGCGAACGGGAUUAGAUACCCCGGUAGUCCACGCCGUAAACUAUGGAUACUAGCUGUUGGAGGUAUCGACCCCUCCAGUAGCGAAGCUAACGCGUUAAGUAUCCCGCCUGUGGAGUACGGUCGCAAGACUAAAACAUAAAGGAAUUGACGGGGACCCGCACAAGCGGUGGAUUGUGUUCUUUAAUUCGAUGAUAAACGGAGAACCUUACCAGGGUUUGACAUACACCGGAAAGCCGUAGAGAUACGGCCCCCCUUGUGGUCGGUGUACAGGUGGUGCAUGGCUGUCGUCAGCUCGUGUCGUGAGAUGUUGGGUUAAGUCCCGCAACGAGCGCAACCCUUGUCUUAUGUUGCCAGCGCGUUAUGGCGGGGACUCGUAAGAGACUGCCGGGGUCAACUCGGAGGAAGGUGGGGACGACGUCAAGUCAUCAUGCCCCUUAUGUCCAGGGCUUCACACAUGCUACAAUGGCCAGUACAGAGGG
rnacentral:rRNA from 1 species